rnacentral:rRNA from 1 species
AGCGAACGCUGGCGGCAGGCUUAACACAUGCAAGUCGAACGGGCAUAGCAAUAUGUCAGCGGCAGACGGGUGAGUAACGCGUGGGAACGUACCUUUUGGUUCGGAACAACUGAGGGAAACUUCAGCUAAUACCGGAUAAGCCCUUACGGGGAAAGAUUUAUCGCCGAAAGAUCGGCCCGCGUCUGAUUAGCUAGUUGGUGAGGUAAUGGCUCACCAAGGCGACGAUCAGUAGCUGGUCUGAGAGGAUGAUCAGCCACAUUGGGACUGAGACACGGCCCAAACUCCUACGGGAGGCAGCAGUGGGGAAUAUUGGACAAUGGGCGCAAGCCUGAUCCAGCCAUGCCGCGUGAGUGAUGAAGGCCCUAGGGUUGUAAAGCUCUUUUGUGCGGGAAGAUAAUGACGGUACCGCAAGAAUAAGCCCCGGCUAACUUCGUGCCAGCAGCCGCAGUAA